AUUGAACGCUGGCGGCAGGCUUAACACAUGCAAGUCGAGCGGGGGAAGGUAGCUUGCUACCGGACCUAGCGGCGGACGGGUGAGUAAUGCUUAGGAAUCUGCCUAUUAGUGGGGGACAACAUCUCGAAAGGGAUGCUAAUACCGCAUACGUCCUACGGGAGAAAGCAGGGGAUCUUCGGACCUUGCGCUAAUAGAUGAGCCUAAGUCGGAUUAGCUAGUUGGUGGGGUAAAGGCCUACCAAGGCGACGAUCUGUAGCGGGUCUGAGAGGAUGGUCCGCCACACUGGGACUGAGACACGGGCCGGACUCCUACGGGAGGCAGCAGUGGGGAAUAUUGGACAAUGGGGGGAACCCUGAUCCAGCCAUGCCGCGUGUGUGAAGAAGGCCUUAUGGUUGUAAAGCACUUUAAGCGAGGAGGAGGCUACUUUAGUUAAUACCUAGGGAUAGUGGACGUUACUCGCAGAAUAAGCACCGGCUAACUCUGUGCCAGCCGCCGCAGUAA
rnacentral:rRNA from 1 species